GAUGCCUGACUGAACUUUCCUUUUCCGCCUGUUCUUCACCCACAACUAUGAUGUCAGAGUCUCGAGUCCACCAUUCCUCUGUCUCCUCCAUCUCCUCAAUCUCUUUGGUUGAGAUCAAGGCUGAGACUCAUCUAGUCCUCCAGGCAUUUCUCCAACGGACCCUUUCUACCCCAAUAAAAGAGAGGCCUGGUAGAGUAGGGGGUGCUUACAGCGUGCACAACAAGUACAGCUCCAGAUCACAACCAAAAGCAAAAGAUUGGUGUGAUUCUCAGGCUGAAGAUGUUGGUUCAGCAGAUGCAAAGAAGACUGGAUUCAAAGACUUCAUUAAGCAGUUGCCACUUCGCAACAACACACAACGCUCUGCUAAAGAUCCUAAAAGCUCACUGGAGAGGGAGAGCACUGCAAAAUGUUCCCACAUCAGAGACCAAGCAGAGGAUGAUCUUGUUAUCCAGACCUCCACAUCAGAAGAUGAUGAAAGUGAGAAGAAACAGCAGAAGAAGCUGAAAAAAACAAAGAUUAGAAAAAAGAUUUCAAAGUUCCUCAGGUUAAAGUUGGAGAGAGAAGACAAAGAGGAGCACGGAUCCUGUCCAAAUAAGCCUACCACGCCAGUCCACCAAGAUCGAGAACCCAACCCACCCAUAAUCUCUCCCACCCACCAUCCUGAGUUCUAUAAUGAGGUAGCAGAGAAGCUGGAAAAGAUUGCACAGAGGUCCACCAGUAUAAAGAAACCGAGUUCUACAGCCCAGCUUUCACAAGAAGUGUGUGACAAAGAGGCAGUUGUGCAGCAGCUUGUGCAGGUGCUCUGUUCGGAGGGAGAUUCUAUCAACACUAAGAUCCAGUCAGACCCUUUCCUGCGCUCCAGCUUUGCUCGUCUUUCUUAUGCAUCGUUUGCCAAGCUUCUAGACACUGUGAGUCAGGUAUCUGAGGCCCCGCCAUCGGCUAGUCCAACACUGCAACGCAUGGCUGUCACCAUGGAGGUAUCACGGCGGAUAGUGACAGCUACUGGAACAAUGCGCAUGCAGGGCUAUGCAAAGUGCUACAUGGAGACCUUUGCACCCUGGGUAAAGAGUCAUGGAGGAUGGGAGAAUGUAGAUUUGGAGGAGCCUGUAGAAUAUGACUGAGUUCCAAAUCCAAAAGUGUUUUUUCCGACUAACCACUAGUCAGCACUGAAUUCUGGAUCAUCACAUCAAAUUCUCAAUGAUACAACCCCUCUUUCCUGGCCUUGGGAGGGAGUAAACAGUCAUAUUGCCUAACUGUUGUGGAAAAUCUGCUGAUCAAUGGUCAACUCACUGGAGACAGUAUUACCUGACUACGCAGUCUCAUAUCUGUUGUGUCUAGAGAGGGAAGCAGCCCUGUCCUCUGACUUUGGCCAUGGCUCCCGCACUUCCCCAAACAGGACAGACAGCCGGAAUACGUUUCAAGGAAGAGACAGUGUCUCCAAAAAUUCCAUAACACUCACAAGCUGCUUUACUGAGAGUGUACUGGGAACGCAGAGGUUUGUUUAAUACUUUAGGCACCUGGAUCAAUCAAUUGGUAGUGCAUUAUCAAGAAGAUGAUUCCUCAGCUGAUUCAUGGCCAUAAACACAGCCACUUUUUUUUAUUGUAGCUGUUGUUUGUUAGUUUGUUUGUUUGUCAGCAGAAACAAACUGUGAACACAAACUCUGGAUUCCCUCUGUAUUUGGUGUCCACCACCUUCUGAAGGAAAUAUCUGGCUCUUCUGCUGAUAAAUGCUCCACUAUGUUCACUGCUGUCUGCUGUUUGAUGCCGAGUGGACAGAGCCUCUGGGAGGUUUUUUUCAGUUGUUUCUCAAAAGACAACUGCUGCUGCCAAGUAUGACAGUAUAAAACAAGUUAGAAUUAAGCAGAAGAGUAAAGUUGAGGUCUUAACAGAUCCCCAGAUUAAAAUGAUAACUAUCUGUCAGUUCACUACCAAUGUGUCCUUUUACAAUAACACAUUGUUUUUAUAUCCUCAACUGAUAAAUUGCAAAGGCACAGUCUGUUAUAUAAUAAACAACAAAGGGUUGCCCUGCCACCAAAUUUUCCUGAUUAAAACAAUUUGUCACUGUCAAGUUCAUUGACCCACAGGUCUAUUUGAAACCACACUGUACACACUGUUAAGUUUACAUGUUUAGAUCAUUUAUGAUUGAUGGAGUCAAGUCAAAUAAUAUGACCAACUGUUUAUUUUAUAUGGUUUUUAAUAUAUUUGAUAUUAACUCUCAGGCAGAGGAUGCACAAAGGGUAGAGUGCAGGGACGUGAUGUGACUCCCUUUGAUGCUUCAUAAAUCAGAAGCAACCCUGCAUGGCUUUAUAAGAGUAGGAAAGAAAGCAGACCAGUGCAAUGUCUUCUCAUUAACAAGAGAUGUCGGAAAAUGGGGCAGGGAAGGAAACAAAAAUAACGCAAGUGAGAAAUGAUUCAGUUUAAAUCAUCUAGACACAACCAAUCUCAAGAAUUGUACUGUAUGUUUCAAUGAAAUUGGGGGGAUUGAAUAUUCAAUAGAACCAGGGUCUAUUUUACAGAUGACACACUUGCUCUGUUGACCUGCACUAACAACACCUGCAUUCAGUGUCUUAAAACAUUUGACAAGUGUAUCCAUGAUAAGCCAUGUUGUACUCAACCUAACACCUUAGUCUGGAUAUGAAAAAAUGAAACCACACCUGACCUCCUGAAUGUGGGCCCUGAUGAGGUUGCAUAUGUUCUACAUUGUAUUAUUAUUGUUAUUAUUAUUAUUAUAGGAAUUCAUGACUAGAGUGUCUGUACACACACUUUUAUUGUAAAUUUACAAGUCAUUUAUGAACUUCCAAGAUGUCUGACUCACUGUACAGACAAGAUAUGAGAAAAUGAUGAUUUCACAUAUGUUUACAUAUAUAAUGAAUUGAAAAUAAUGUGUAUGUUUCUGCAAGAUCUGAUUUAUUUAAGCUCUGUA